ACCGCGCAUCAGGUGAGCAAUCCUUCAUUGCUAAUUUUUCUCUCUUUCAAUUUAAUUUUCUACCUUCCGAUUCCAUUUGACUCUUUGGUUUCAGUAGAAUACAAAAAGUGUGGCAUAAGUGUAUGAUUGAUAUCGAUUCUUUCAUUUUUUUUUCUUCUUAUUUCCUCGAUUCGGAUUAGACUUUUGUUUUUUUUUUCUUCUUAUUUCCUCGAUUCGGAUUAGACUUUUGUAAGUUUGGUGAUUAUUAUCUCUAUUUGCUUCGGUUCAAUUAAUUUUUCUUAACUUUAGUAUAGUUGAUGUCUAAUAGAUCAGAUCUUCUUUUGCUAUUUGUUAAUCAAAUUGGUAAUCUGUUCAAAUAUAAUGUAUGGGUGUGUUUAAAUGAUGUUAGAAAUUAUAGAUCUGUUUGAUUUUGUGGCUUCAAUUAACAUUUCAUCAUUUAUAAAAUGAUAUACUUCCAUUCUUCUUUAUGGUGGUGAUGUAUUUAGCUUUAAGUGUAAAGUUCUUUGAAUCUCUGAAGAUUUGUUCGUUAUAAUUGCUAUAUCUACUUUUUUGUCUACUAGAUGUGGAUUUGAUAGUAGAUAAAAGUUAUGAAACGGCAUCGUUUGGUUUUUUUUUUUUUUUUUUUUUUCUAGAACACACUUAAUGAUGGUUAUUGCAUCUGUUUAUUAUGUUGGGUUUUUGUUUUAAAUUAGUUUGUUAUAAAAUAUUGAUGUGAAGAUCGAGCUUUGUUGUGUAGUGGAAGUAUGUUUCGGAUACUUCAAAUAAUCCUAUUGAUAUUGUAAGUACUUUAUAUGCUAAUUAAGUAAUAAUCUACUUCUAUCUAACGACAAUUGUGUUUUGUUGUUAAAUGCAGUGACACUGUUGACGUCAAAGAAGAAAGGGAACCAACAUCGAAACCCACAUUUAGGAGGAGGCUGAAGAGCAAUAUUACUCCAUAUAUGUUUUUGCUAUGAUUUAUUUUAACUCUACUCCUUUGAUUCAUUAGAAAUAACUUGUGGGUGUAAUUCUUGAUCAUAUUAACUAUCUACAUAUUGUUAUUGGUUUUUUAUUCUCACUUCUAUU
rnacentral:lncRNA from 1 species